GACGAACGCUGGCGGCGCGCUUAACACAUGCAAGUCGAACGGAAAGGCCCUGCUUUUGUGGGGUGCUCGAGUGGCGAACGGGUGAGUAACACGUGAGUAACCUGCCCUUGACUUUGGGAUAACUUCAGGAAACUGGGGCUAAUACCGGAUAGGAGCUCCUGCUGCAUGGUGGGGGUUGGAAAGUUUCGGCGGUUGGGGAUGGACUCGCGGCUUAUCAGCUUGUUGGUGGGGUAGUGGCUUACCAAGGCUUUGACGGGUAGCCGGCCUGAGAGGGUGACCCGCCACAUUGGGACUGGGAUACGGCCCAGCCUCCUACGGGACGCAGCAGUGGGGAAUAUUGCACAAUGGGCGGAAGCCUGAUGCAGCAACGCCGCGUGCGGGAUGACGGCCUUCGGGUUGUAAACCGCUUUCGCCUGUGACGAAGCGUGAGUGACGGUAAUGGGUAAAGAAGCACCGGCUAACUACGUG
rnacentral:rRNA from 1 species